CGCGCGGCGCGGAGGCCAUAGCGGGCGAUUUAAAAAUGGGUGAUGUUGAGAAGGGCAAGAAGAUUUUUGUUCAGAAGUGUGCCCAGUGCCAUACCGUGGAAAAGGGAGGCAAGCACAAGACUGGGCCAAAUCUGCAUGGUUUAUUUGGCCGAAAGACAGGUCAGGCCCCUGGAUUUUCUUACACCGAUGCCAACAAGAAUAAAGGCAUCACCUGGGGAGAGGAGACACUGAUGGAGUAUUUGGAGAAUCCCAAGAAGUACAUCCCUGGGACAAAAAUGAUCUUCGCUGGCAUUAAGAAGACAGAGGAAAGAGCAGACUUGAUAGCUUAUCUCAAAAAAGCUACUAAGGAGUAAUAGUUGGCCAUUGCCUUAUUUAUUGCAAAACAAAAAUGUUUCAUGACUUUAUGUGUUCAAUUGAUCUCAUACACCAGAAUUCAGAUCAUGAAUGGCUGAUAGAAUAUUUCUUUUGGACAGUCCUGAUUUAAAUAAGGUUGGCUUGUGGUUAAAUGAAUAUGAUCAGCUUUUUGAACUUUGAUAGUAAUUCUGGUUCAGCAAGUGCUGUCAGUUUUCCCCUUUUAAAAAUAUG